AUUGAACGCUGGCGGCAUGCCUUACACAUGCAAGUCGAACGGCAGCACGGGAGCAAUCCUGGUGGCGAGUGGCGAACGGGUGAGUAAUAUAUCGGAACGUGCCCAGUCGUGGGGGAUAACGUAGCGAAAGUUACGCUAAUACCGCAUACGAUCUAUGGAUGAAAGCGGGGGAUCGCAAGACCUCGCGCGAUUGGAGCGGCCGAUAUCAGAUUAGGUAGUUGGUGGGGUAAAGGCUCACCAAGCCGACGAUCUGUAGCUGGUCUGAGAGGACGACCAGCCACACUGGGACUGAGACACGGCCCAGACUCCUACGGGAGGCAGCAGUGGGGAAUUUUGGACAAUGGGCGCAAGCCUGA
rnacentral:rRNA from 1 species